GAGAGUUUGAUCCUGGCUCAGGACGAACGCUGGCGGCGUGCUUAACACAUGCAAGUCGAACGGAAAGGCCCUUCGGGGUACUCGAGUGGCGAACGGGUGAGUAACACGUGGGUGAUCUGCCCUGCACUUUGGGAUAAGCCUGGGAAACUGGGUCUAAUACCGAAUAUGACCACGCUCUUCAUGGGGUGUGGUGGAAAGCUUUUGCGGUGUGGGAUGGGCCCGCGGCCUAUCAGCUUGUUGGUGGGGUAAUGGCCUACCAAGGCGACGACGGGUAGCCGGCCUGAGAGAGGGUGACCGGCCACACUGGGACUGAGAUACGGCCCAGACUCCUACGGGAGGCAGCAGUGGGGAAUAUUGCACAAUGGGCGCAAGCCUGAUGCAGCGACGCCGCGUGAGGGAUGACGGCCUUCGGGUUGUAAACCUCUUUCACCAGGGACGAAGCGCAAGUGACGGUACCUGGAGAAGAAGCACCGGCCAACUACGUGCCAGCAGCCGCGGUAAUACGUAGGGUGCGAGCGUUGUCCGGAAUUACUGGGCGUAAAGAGCUCGUAGGUGGUUUGUCGCGUUGUUCGUGAAAACUCACAGCUUAACUGUGGGCGUGCGGGCGAUACGGGCAGACUAGAGUACUGCAGGGGAGACUGGAAUUCCUGGUGUAGCGGUGGAAUGCGCAGAUAUCAGGAGGAACACCGGUGGCGAAGGCGGGUCUCUGGGCAGUAACUGACGCUGACGCUGAGGAGCGAAAGCGUGGGGAGCGAACAGGAUUAGAUACCCUGGUAGUCCACGCCGUAAACGGUGGGUACUAGGUGUGGGUUCCUUCCUUGGGAUCCGUGCCGUAGCUAACGCAUUAAGUACCCCGCCUGGGGAGUACGGCCGCAAGGCUAAAACUCAAAGGAAUUGACGGGGGCCCGCACAAGCGGCGGAGCAUGUGGAUUAAUUCGAUGCAACGCGAAGAACCUUACCUGGGUUUGACAUGCACAGGACGCUGGUAGAGAUAUCAGUUCCCUUGUGGCCUGUGUGCA
rnacentral:rRNA from 1 species